rnacentral:lncRNA from 1 species
CUGUUUUUCUGCAUACUCAUCAUAAUAAUCAUCUGUCAAACAUGGUGGAGGCCAUGUCAUGUAUGCCAUGGUUGGUAUGGCGUGUAUGGCAUGUAACCAGUUUUAUUUAAGGCAUUUAUAAAUGGUCAUAAUUUUUGUCUAUAAAUGUUUACAUGAGGCACAGUUUUAGUUUAUCCUUGUUGUUGCUGUAUUGAAGAAAACAUGCUUCUGAUAUUUGUUGAAAAAAUCAUUUUUAAACCUAAAUAUCUGUAGUCGUUCCCAUUGGAUCAGGGGAAACCAUUCCUAGUGAAAGCUCAUCACUGAAGAGCAACACAUUAAACUCCAGCUCUGUGAGGAAUUCUUAAUCUUGUCUCCCCUCCUCUGGUAGGGGGUGGGGGUAUAGAGAAUGAUCAAUCAGGCAGACACACACACACACACACACACACUCUCACUCUCUUCAGUGGGCUGGCUUUUGAAGAAGGUCACAUUUGCACUCACGGCAACAGGACAGGAUUCAAAACACUGUCGCCAACCAAAAGCAGCCCUGAAACCAGACUUUACCACAACAUGAGUUCCUGUGGCUCCUCUUCAGGCUUUGCGUUCGACUGUACAGGGAGAAGCUGUGACAGUGUAGGGAAUUUGCGGAGUUUGAUCUCACAGAGUCAUCUCAGAGUGACAGACCUGCAGAGAGAGACUGAACAGGAGAUUAUACGUGUGAGACAACAGCUGAGAUCAGUACGGCUACAGCAGAAAAUCCUGACCUGUGAACUACCAAGUCAAGAUAUUCUGCAGACUGAGGCUGAACACUUACCACAAAGAGCCGUAAACACAGAGACCUGUAACGUAAGUAGCCUAGACUCACAGUGACCAAUUACAACCAGUGUUAGUGUACACCCACUGGCCACU